rnacentral:rRNA from 1 species
AAGAUUAAGCCAUGCAUGUCUAAGUAUAAGCACUCAUACUGCGAAACUGCGAAUGGCUCAUUAAAUCAGUUAUCGUUUAUUUGAUAGUACCUUUACUACUUGGUAUAACCGUGGUAAUUCUAGAGCUAAUACAUGCUAAAACCCCGACUGUUUGGAAGGGGUGUAUUUAUUAGAUAAAAUACAAUGCUCUUCUGAGCUCUUUGAUGAUUCAUAAUAACUUUUCGAAUCGCAU